UUCAUCUUCUUUCUUUCUCUGUUUCUUUUCUUCUGAUAAUUCGUGAGCCAUGCAUGAGGAUUCUGAGAUCGAGUCAAGAGUAGAAAAAUCAAGGUUAGGUUUUUGGUGGUGAUGAUUAGGGUUGAUUAAUAUUUGAGAAGAAAAAGAGAUGUCGAUGCUGCUAUAAAUUAAAAGUUAGGGUUCUUGUGGGUUGUAGAUGAAGUGAUUGAAUGAAUUCGAGUUCUUAGGUGAUUUGAGAAAUGAAUUGAGUUGUUGUUAGAUGAAGAAAAGAAGGGUUGUGGUUGAAUUGAAAUUCUGAAAUCGUUUUGGAGAUUAUCUGAGAAUUAGGGUUUCUGAAGUUGAAUUCACGAAUUCGAUUAAGGGUGAAUAAGGAGAAGUUAGAAGAUGGGUUUGCUGUUAUUUGAUGAUUGACGGAAGCUGUGGUAUCGUUUGAUGAUUGAAUCAGUGAAUUAGGGUUUGUAAAGCAAAGGGAGGAUGAAAUUGAAGGUUUGGAGAUUGAGGAGUUGUUGUUAGUGUGGAUAUGAGUUGAUGAAUUGAGUCAGGUGAAGGAGAACUUGAAUCAAUUGCAUGGGUAUCUCUGGAAUGAGGUAAAUGUUCUUUAGAGUAACAUAGUAAUGUUAUUUAUUUCAUUCAUGAGUUUAUGAGAUUCUUAAUUGACCUUUGAAUUAAGAUGUAUGUGUGGGUAUGAAGCUGAGAAUUGUGAAUUAGGCUUGUGUUUGAAUUGCAAGGGAACUGGUAUAGGUUAAGAUGAAUUACAGGGAGGAUUUAUGAUUGAGUUGUUAGAACUGGUAUUGGGAUGAAUUACAGAUGAUGCUAUUGUUGAAUUCAUGAUGGUGGAGAAUGUAUGAACUGUGUUGAGGAGUUAUGUUUAGAGAUUGAAGUGGAGUUUGUUAAUAUGUUAUUAGUCUAAGCUACAGGUGUUAGUGUUAGUUUGUGAGAUGAAGUUGAAAUAUCAGGAGCAAGAAGUGCUGAGAGUAUGUAUAUGGAUGGUGGUGUUAGCUGUGAUCUGGUGGAGAAGUUUAUGAUGUUACUUUGGGUUUUGACGAUGUUAUUGUUGUGUUUUUGUUUGACUGUGUUGAGCUAAAGUGCAGGAUUAUUUAUUUGUGUAUGUGUGUUUGUAUUAGAACAGUGUCUAUGGACUGGAGUUGGAAGUGGAAGCAGUAAUGAAACUGUAAUUUAACUAUUAUAUGGAAAUGAGUUUGCUCUAGAGAGUUUGAUUGAGAAAAAGAUGUGGAUGAAUAUGUUGAGAUAAACAGAGUAUGGCUUAAAGCUGCACUUCCAGUUUCAGAGACGGAUCAGAGUUGCGCGGCGAAAGCUUCGAGGCGUUGAUUUCGUUUGUUAGAUUACUUCUUCUAUGAUUAUUAUGUUGUAUAUUUUAUUUUCAAACCAAAUAACUAUUUUAUAUAUAUCAUUGAGAGGA